AUUGAACGCUGGCGGCAUGCUUUACACAUGCAAGUCGAACGGUAACAGGCCGCAAGGUGCUGACGAGUGGCGAACGGGUGAGUAAUGCAUCGGAACGUGCCCAGUCGUGGGGGAUAACGCAGCGAAAGCUGUGCUAAUACCGCAUACGAUCUAUGGAUGAAAGCGGGGGACCGUACGGCCUCGCGCGAUUGGAGCGGCCGAUGGCAGAGUAGGUAGUUGGUGGGGUAAAGGCUCACCAAGCCAACGAUCUGUAGCUGGUCUGUGAGGACGACCAGCCACACUGGGACUGAGACGCGGCCCAGACUCCUACGGGAGGCAGCAGUGGGGAAUUUUGGACAAUGGGCGCAAGCCUGAUCCAGCAAUGCCGCGUGCAGGAAGAAGGCCUUCGGGUUGUAAACUGCUUUUGUACGGAACGAAACGGCGAGCUCUAAUACAGUUUGCUAAUGACGGUACCGUAAGAAUAAGCACCGGCUAACUACGUGCCAGCAGCCGCCGCCG
rnacentral:rRNA from 1 species